CAAGGCCUGGAAACCUCCUGAUUUUGUUAAGGAAAAGAGUGUUCCAGUUAAACCCCUUAAAAGAAAUACAUUACAGGAAAAGCAUCUUGACUUCCUUACUACUCACCAUCAAGAGUUCAAGGUUCUUGAGGAGAACCUUGUAAGCUUGAAGGGUCCAUAGGACUUUAGAUUUCUCCAGUAUUCCCAGGAAAGCAACAAAUGUGGCUGUCCUCCAUGUCAAGAAGGCACUCCCUCCUAGUAGAAUUCCUCUCUUCCUACAAGAUGCAGCUGAGGCACUACCUUCUACAAAGAAACCUUUCCUGAUACCCCCAAAUUAAGUGCCCUCCCUUCCAAACUACCUUGUAUUUUAACUACUUUGUAUUUAUUAUCUAUAUGGUUAUUUAUAUACUGGCUUUUACCAUUAAAAUAUAAGUUCUCUGU